rnacentral:rRNA from 1 species
AUUGAACGCUGGCGGCAGGCCUAACACAUGCAAGUCGAGCGAGCGGCGGACGGGUGAGUAAUGUCUGGGAAACUGCCUGAUGGAGGGGGAUAACUACUGGAAACGGUAGCUAAUACCGCAUACCAUCAGAUGUGCCCAGAUGGGAUUAGCUAGUAGGUGGGGGAACGGCUUACCUAGGCUACGAUCCCUAGCUGGUCUGAGAGGCUGAUCAGCUACACUGGUACUGAGACACGGUCCAGACUCCUACGGGAGGCAGCAGGGGGGAAUAUUGCACAAUGGGCGCAAGCCUGAUGCAGCCAUGCCGCGUGUGUGAAGAAGGCCGUCGGGUUGUAGAGCACUUUCAGUAGUGAGGCGUUGCCCGCAGAAGAAGCACCGGCUAACUCCGUGCCAGCAGCCGCGGUAAUAC